UACGGAGUGUGCAAGCGUUAUCCGUAUUUACUGGGUUUCAAGGGUGCGUAGGUGGACAGGAAAGUCAGUGGUGACAUCUUCGAGCUUAACUCGGAAACUGCCAUUGAUACUAUUUGUCUUGAAUACUUUGGAGGUAAGCGGAAUAUGUCAUGUAGCGGUGAAAUGCUGAGAUAUGACAUAGAACACCAAUUGCGAAGGCAGCUUACUACACAGUUAUUGACACUGAGGCACGAAAGCGUGGGGAUCAAACAGG
rnacentral:rRNA from 1 species